rnacentral:rRNA from 1 species
GGGAAGUGGGUGCCGGCAGCAGAGGUAAGAGGGGGGGCGCAAGCGUUGUCCGGAGUGACAGGGGGUAAAGGGGGAGUAGGCGGGAGAGUAAGUCCGCGGGGAAAUCGCACGGCGCAGCCGGGAAACUGCCGUUGAUACUGCUUUUCGUGAGUUCGGGAGAGGUUGAUGGAAUUCCAGGUGUAGCGGUGAAAUGCGUAGAUAUCUGGAAGAACACCAGUGGCGAAGGCGGUCAACUGGCCCGAAACUGACGCUGAGGCACGAAAGCGUGGGGAGCGAACAGGAUUAGAUACCCCGGUAGUC